rnacentral:ncRNA from 1 species
CCGAUAAGUACUGUAAAGCUUAUCAAUUAAUAUUAGUGUCUUUACAUUUGUAGAGACACUAAUACUAGUUAGUGCCGAAAGUUAUUAAACCGAAUGGAUUUAGUAGGUAAUUAAGUUGAAUUGACAACUUCCCUCAAGUGCUAUAUGCCGUAGGGUGGAAAAACAACGUGCCACUGAUCA